rnacentral:rRNA from 1 species
UGCACCCCAGGUCAGGGGCUACCCAUUGAGUUUAAGUAUCAAUAAGCGAGGAAAGAAACUUACAAGAUUCCCUUAAGAACGGCGUAUUUAACCGGAAGAGCCUAGUUGAGAACUGCAAAGCCAUCCGGUCUGUAGUCUGUAGAAGUGACCUCAGCGGCGGACUGACCUAGGUCCCCUGGAAGGGGGGCGCCGAGAGGGUGAGAGCCCCGCCGUACUGGACCUGUCGCAACACCUAGGCACUCACGGCGAGUCGGUUGUUUGGGAAUGCAGCCCAAAUCGGGCGGUAAAUUCCGGCCCAAGGCCACGGGCGUAGAGACCGAGCAGCAAAACAAGUACCGCUGAGGGAUGAAAAGGACUUUGGAAAGAGAGCCGCGAGUGCUUAGCUCAAUGGGAGGGAAGCUUAAUGGGGCCGGCGACGCGCUUCGACGCAUGUGGAACGGUCACAAGCCGUCCGCCAGUCGACCGGUAUGGACCGACGCGGGCGGCAUCCUAAGCCCCGUUGUUGACACCCGCGAGAUGGUGUCCUCGAUCGUGGAGGGCAGCACGCUACCGCGAUGGCGGCUUCGCACCUGCUCCAGGCGGCCGGCUCAAGGGCUCCCCAUUCAACCUGGUCUUGAAACACGGACCAAGAGUCUGAUAUGUGCGAAGUCAACGGGUAAGUAAACCCAGCGCGCAAGGAAGCUGAUCGGCGAUCCCAGUAAUGUCGACCCACCUUGAUCUUUUGAGAGGGGUUCGAGGUGAGCAUGCCUGUCGGGACCCGAAAGAUGGUGAACUAUGCCUGAGCGGGGCUGCCAGAGGAAACUGUGAUAGGCCCGGGCCGGAGCAGCACUGCAGCAAAUCGCUCGCCUGACUUUGGGUAUAAGGGCUUAAAUUAAUCAAACCAUCUAGUAGCUGUCUCUCCAAGUUUCUCAGAUAGCCGGAGCUCGAUGAAGUUCUAUCGUGUAAAGCCAAUGAUUAUAAGAACUGGGGGGCGCAAUGCCCUCGACCUAUUCUCAAACUUUAAAUAGGGUAGGGACGGCGUGGCUGCUUCGCUGAGCCAAUAUGGAAUCAAGAGCUCCAAGGGCCAUUUGUGUUAACUGGCGAAGGGAUUUAACCGAAGUCGGGUUGUUUUGCGUCAACUACGCUUAACCUAGAACCCACAAAGGCGCUAUCGACAUGACAGCAGGGACGGUGGUCAUGGGAAGUCGAACUGCUUAAGGAGUGUGUAACAACUCACCCGUCAAUCAACUAUUCUUUAAAUGGAUGGCGCCUGAAGCUGACCUACACCCACCGUCAGUACAUUGCUAGGCCUCGAGUAGGGAGGGCUGGCACGCUGCAAAACUCAAGGUGAGUUCAUGGACGCCAUUCGGUGCGGAUCUGGUAGUAGCAAUUCAAAAUGAGAACUUUGAAGGUCAAGAGGGAAAGGGUUCCAUGAACGCAGACCAUGGGUUAACAUCCCAAGAGACCUGGGGAAGCCUGUCCGAUAGCGGCACCACGCAGAGCUUCAAAGGGAAUCGCUAAAAUUCCCGAACUGGAUGUGGCGAAGAUCGCAACGUUAGGGGAAACGACGUCGUCGAGGGCCUCGGAAGAGUUAUCUUUCUUAGUUUAACAGCCUGCCCACCCUGAAACGGUUUUAGCUGAGGAAUCCAGUUGCUGGAAGCACCGCACGUCAAGGUGGUGUCUGCGGGCGUUUCUGCCGCCCGUCCGGAGGACCGAAAAGCCUUUCCACGCCCGGUCGCAUUCACAUAACCGGCAUCAGGGUCUCCAAGGUGAACAGCCUCUGGUCAAUGGAACAAAUGCAGGCAAGGGAAGUCGCAAAUGAUCCAACCCGUGCGAUUGUCGAUAUUGGGCUCCGGGGGUCCUCUGUCCCAACCCAUCGGCUGUUGGUGGACUGCCUCGAGCUGCUCCCGGCGGCGAGCUGGCUCGCUGCGUCGCCCGGGACGGACUGGGAACGCUCUUCGGGCCUUCCCCGGCGCCUAACAAAUGGGCUCAGAACUGGUACGGACAAGGGGAACUGACUGUUUAAUUAAAACAAAGUAUCAUGAUGGUCCCAGCUGGAUGCCAACGCAGGAUUUCUGCCCAGUGCUCUGAAAUGUCAAAGUGAAGAAAUUCAACCAAGCUGGUAAACGGCGGAGUAACUAUGACUCUCUUAUGGUAGCUAAAAUGCCUCGCUGCCAUCCAAUUAGUGACGCGAUGGAAUGGAUUAACGAGAUUCACCUGUCCCUGUCUACUAUCCAUACGUAAAACCACAGCCAAGGAACGGGCUUUGGUAGAAUCAGCGGGAAAAAGAAGACCCUGUUGAGCUUGACUCUAUCCCACUUGUAACCACUUGAGAGGUGGUGGAUAAGUGGGAGCCGGAGACGGCAAAAGUGAAAUACCAUUACUUUAACGUUAUUUUACUUAUUAUCUGCGGACGUAAGCGGCCUCCUUUUAGAACCAAGACGCCGCAUCGAUCCGGGCGAAGACAUUGUCAGUGGGAGUUUGGUCAGCGCACAUCUGUUAAAAGCAUAACGCAGGUGUCCUAAGAUGAGCUCAACGAGAACAGAAACGGUGGAACAAAAGGGUAAAAGCUCGCUUGACUGGAUUUUCAAGAUUUAAUACGGUCCGGAAAGCUGCAGUCUAUCGAUCUCAGGAAAUUUCGGAAUUUGAAGCUAGAGGCCGUAAAAGUUACCAGGGAUAAUCCGUUUGCAGCAGCUGCUGCCUAUAGCGACGUUGCUUUUUGAUCCUUCGAGCGUCGGCUCUUCCUAUCAUUGUAGCGUAAUUCACCAAGUGUUGGACUGUUCACCCACCAUUGGGGAACGAGCUGGCUUAUGGUGUAUCGAGACAGGUUAGUUUUACCCAUCGAAGGAUAAAUACGAAUAGUAAUUCAACCAAGACGAGAGGAACCGUUGAUUGCCAAGACAAUUGGUCAUCGCCGCUUUGCUGCGCCAGUGGCUACCGUAUGUUGGAUUGGCGACUGAACGCCGAAGUCAGAACUGGCUAUACCGAUGCAUGUGCUCGCCGCUCGUUUGUCGAAUUUCAGUAGGGGCUUCUUGACGUUUCCAAAGGCACGUGGUCGGCGAGGGUCAGCGCUGUGGAUGGGGUUUUCACGGCCGGGUCAUUUUAGUACAAUUCUCCUGGCUAUGGUAGAAUCCUUUGCAUACACUGAACACGCUGACGGGUAUUAGGCUGCGGAGUGUUGCCAAUGAUCCGCUGAGAUUCAGC